rnacentral:rRNA from 1 species
UACAGAGACUGCAAGCGUUAUUCGGAUUCACUGGGCGUAAAGGGUGCGCAGGCGGCCAAGUGUGUGAGGCGUGAAAGCCUGGAGCUUAACUCCAGAACUGCCUUUGAUACUGAAGAUCUUGAGUUCGGGAGAGGUGGAGUGGAACUGCGAGUGUAGAGGUGAAAUUCGUAGAUAUUCGCAAGAACACCAGUGGCGGAAGGCGGACUCACUGGCCCGAUACUGACGCUGAGGUGCGAAAGCGAUGGGGAGCCAAAGCUAGG